UUUGAGUUAGCAGAAACUGCUAAUGCAUCUGUUUUAGGAACAGAAGGUAAGAUAAUCUUACUCAAAA
rnacentral:tRNA from 1 species